ACACUCCUGCGGGAGGCAGCAGUGGGGAAUUUUGGACAAUGGGGGCAACCCUGAUCCAGCAAUGCCGCGUGAGUGAAGAAGGCCUUCGGGUUGUAAAGCUCUUUUGUCAGGGAAGAAACGGUGGUGGCGAAUAACUACUACUAAUGACGGUACCUGAAGAAUAAGCACCGGCUAACUACGUGCCAGCAGCCGCGGUAAUACGUAGGGUGCAAGCGUUAAUCGGAAUUACUGGGCGUAAAGCGUGCGCAGGCGGUUGUGUAAGUCAGAUGUGAAAUCCCCGGGCUCAACCUGGGAAUUGCAUUUGAGACUGCACGGCUAGAGUGUGUCAGAGGGGGGUAGAAUUCCACGUGUAGCAGUGAAAUGCGUAGAUAUGUGGAGGAAUACCGAUGGCGAAGGCAGCCCCCUGGGAUAACACUGACGCUCAUGCACGAAAGCGUGGGGAGCAAACAGGAUUAGAAACCCCAGUAGUCCCA
rnacentral:rRNA from 1 species